rnacentral:sRNA from 1 species
ACCUCCAUCACAGGUAGGAUCAGACAAUAAAUCCACGUACAGUGCCAGGCCAUAAAUAUUGGCAAACUCCACCACAGUCCUGGUGCCAUUUGGUGGCAGAAAAGUUAGUUAUGGGGUUUCCAAUACUUAUGGCCUCGUACAGUACAUGAGGCCAAUGCCAGGGCUGUUUCUUUGGUGAACCCAUUUCCGUAGGGAUCAUUUAUUAAUUUUGAAUUGUUUUGGGCAUAGGAGGGUCAUCUUUAUUAUUUCCUUUUUGUAUUUGUCGCAGGAUCUGUCAAUCUUUCACUAUCAUUUUGUCCAGCACUUGAGAAGUUCCUCCGAACUUCUAUGUGCUAACAAAGAUGUUUGCUGGCCUU